UACGUAGGGGGCAAGCGUUGUCCGGAAUCAUUGGGCGUAAAGCGCGCGUAGGCGGCCCGGUAAGUCCGCUGUAAAAGUCCAGGGCUCAACCCUGGAAAGCCGGUGGAUACUGUCGGGCUAGAGUCCGGAAGAGGCGAGUGGAAUUCCUGGUGUAGCGGUGAAAUGCGUUGAUAUCAGGAGGAACACCGAUGGCGAAGGCAGCAAACUGGUCGUCAACUGACGCUGAGGCGCGAAAGCGUGGGUAGCAAACAGG
rnacentral:rRNA from 1 species